AAAAAAACUUAAAACAUAUCAACUAUUAAUUAAAAUUUUAUUAAUUUUUAUUUGUAUAAAAAAUAUAAUAAUAUUUUAAUAAAAUUAAUAUUUUAAUAUAGAGUUUAAUAUAUGAGCUUAAUGUGCUUAUAAUUUUUUAGUCGUCGGAUAGCUCAAGAUUCUUACAGUACUAAUAAAAAAGGCUUAAUAAGACACGUCGUAAAUAGUGCUGUACGAAUUUUUAAGCGAUUUCUAAAAAAAUAACAAAUAUAAAUACUUCUUUGCUUUUAAAAAUAGAGGGGCUCAACUCUUUAUAUGUAACUCUUUAUAGAUAUAUUAGCAAUAUAUUUUAAAGUCAUAUCCAUGUUCUAAUAUACAUGUCCUUGUAAAGAUAUGAAAUAGUAAACAUAUUCCUUUAAAUUUAAGUUAUCAUAUUUAUUCUUUCAAAUAUUCUCUAAUUUGUAAAUAUAUUUCUUCAAAAAUUUUGAUUCGUUUAUAUAUGUCUCUGUCAUUUGAUUCACCGUUAGUUUUUUACAGUAACUAUAUAAAAUAACUAUUUUACUUUUACAAAUUUGUCCCCAUAAAAGUUAUCAUCCUUUCUCCCUCCUCGCAUUUGUCGCAGCACGUGCGGCGUAUCUCAUUUUUACCACGACUAAAGACCUGGCCUUCAACGUCGUCGUUGCUGUAGGUCUCGCCGUCGCCGCGGAUAUAAAAAAGAGGCUGAUAAUGAUGACAAAACUCAAAGAAUAUAAAUUAUAUAUAUACGGGACAAAAAAAUUAUUUUACUCUAUAACUAAUUGUGAUUAAUUUUUUUAACUCAUGUUUAUCUAAAUUUUAGUAACCGAAAGGAAUAUAUUUACAGAGAAAAAAAUUUCAAAAAAUAAAAUUAAUAACUUAAAUUUAAUUUUUAUUAUAUAUUGACCAAUUUGCAUAAAAAAUUUAUUAGUUUUGCGCUUUUACAAAAGUGGGCCACUUUUUUCGAUUUUACAGAUUCGGAUCAAAUUUUCAGUAAACUGACUAAAGUAUUUUUUUUUUUUUUUCUUUUCUCUUUGUAAUCGGCCGAGUGGGUCGGGUGGGGUUAGUUGAGUAGAGAAACUUUUUAUUUUUGAUUGGAUUAGUCUUUAUAUUUAGGCCUUAGUAGAUUUUUUAAAGAAUUUUGAUAUAAAUGAAACACUUACACAAAAGUGUCUUAAAAAUGUAUCCUAUAAUCUAAUUCUGUUGUAGUGAUUAUAGUUUAGAGCAGU
rnacentral:lncRNA from 1 species